UGUGUCUGGGGUGUAUUUUCUGUUUUCCCCUAAUAAGAUUUUAAUAACAUUUAAUUGGAGAACUAAAUCCCUAGCUAAUACUUUGUAUAAAGAUUCACUCCCCUCCUUGGCAUGGUGUAAUAGACCCUGUUUAGAACCUUUGAUGUACACCUGCUCCCUCAUUAGGAGAAGGAAUAUUGAAGACCCCAACUCCUGAGGCCUAGUUUGUCCGGUUAAGGCACCUACUUCACCCGUGUGAAUAUCCCUUACUUGUCUGUGCCCGGCACAUUUUUGGGUGGGAUAUAUCUAGAGGUAGUGGCAAUAAAAAAUUGUUCUGGCAUGGAUCAGAUGUCACGUUCUCUUUUGACACAUGUAAUAAUUAAGAGAAUCCAAAGGUGAGUCUUAAUAUUGUUCCUGAGAGAAAUUUAUUC